AGUUCAUCGCAACACUCAGCCUGUCAGUCAGGUUGUGGGAUCCCUCCUAUCCAGGAACUGUAUGCUGUUGUCCCGGUUCUGACACUUUCCCUCUGAGUCCUUGGACACCUUACCUAACCUCUUGGAAGCUCCUGUCUGUGAAGGGUGUGCACAGAGAGCUUCGGUAGCCUGCGAAGCAGCCAUUUUCACUUCCACGGAGCAGAUGCUGGCCUGGGUGCUGGAAUAUGGAAAUGAGGAAGAUCCUGCCUGAGGAUUUCAUGACAGUGCUGCGAUUACCGACGUGAGCCACUGUGCCCAGCCUCACUUUAAAAAAAAAAAAAGGUUAUGAAGCAUCUCAACACAAGACCUCCUUUGCUCAUCACAACCACCCAGUGAAGCAGGCAAGACAACAGAAACUCCCCACCUGUGAUAGAUGUGAGGCCUGAAGUCUCCCACAUACCCACGGCAGAUGCAACGCACAGCGGUGACCAAUGGUGAAGGAUCUAAAACCUGAAAAGAGGCCAAAUGAUUCCUCAAAACCACGCAAGUACGAAGUAGCAGAGCGGAUCUCAAAUCCAGACACAGAGGGAUUGAAAUGCAUAACAAUAGAGAUGAAACACGAAGAGUGAUAAAUGAAGAUUGAGUGUGCACACCUUCUGGAGGAGCCCUGAUUGAGUAUUUUAAAAUACUACUAAAGUCAUGCCGUGUGACUUCUGAAGCUAGCUCCUAAGAAGUCCUUGCAGCUUCUGCCUGCGACUCUUAGAACACUUGCUUUGAAGGAUGCCAGAUGCUGUCUUAAAAGUCUGAGCACUCUGAAACCAUCAUGCUGUGAGGAAGCCCAAGCUAACCACAUGGGCAAAAAAGAUGCCCUCUGACUGCCACCAUUUGAGACACUCUAAUUAAGAACUGCCUCAUUGAGCCCAUGAGGCCCUGUGAAUGAUAAUAAUAAAUUGUUUUUAACCACUAUGUUUUUGGAUUUGUUAUAAGUUUAUAGAUAACAAGAAAAAGUUAUAUUAGCAUGGUAAUAAAAUUAUGGAUAUGUGUAA
rnacentral:lncRNA from 1 species